rnacentral:rRNA from 1 species
GGGCGCAGCCUGGAUCCAGCCAUGCCGCGUGGGGUGAUGAAGGCCUUCGGGUUGUAAAGCCCUUUUGCUUGGGGAAAGAAAUCGACCGGGCCUAGUACCAUGGUUGGCAUGACGGUUCCCAGCCAAUAACCGCCGGUAUAACGACGUGCCAGCAGCCGCGGUAAUACGAA